GAUGAACGCUAGCGACAGGCUUAACACAUGCAAGUCGAGGGGCAGCGGGGUGUAGCAAUACACCGCCGGCGACCGGCGCACGGGUGAGUAACGCGUAUGCAACUUGCCUAUCAGAGGGGGAUAACCCGGCGAAAGUCGGACUAAUACCGCAUGAAGCAGGGGUCCCGCAUGGGGAUAUUUGCUAAAGAGUACUACUACGUCCGUCGUAGUAAGUAGUAAGGUACGGACUAGUCGGUUCCCGUUACCUUAAGGUUACGGACGUUAGGGUUCGGGGGGUAACCGGGGGGUAACCCCGGACCCCCAAAACCCG
rnacentral:rRNA from 1 species